AAAGAUCAUGAAAUGGUUGAAAAUGGUCAAAUAUAUAUAUAUAUAUGCGACCCUUUCUCUCUCUAA
rnacentral:sRNA from 1 species